rnacentral:rRNA from 1 species
GUCUAUGGUCAUGCCACCCUGAACAAGCCUGAUCCCAUCUGAUCUUGGAAGCUAAGCAGGGUCAGCCUGGUUAGUACUUGAAUGGGAGACCACCUAGGAAGACCAGGUGCUGUAGAUA